UUUGUUUUGUUCGGCAAGACUUGUCUCAUUUUUAUUUUUUUAAGCAAAUCCUAAAGAGACUAUGAUUUUCUAUAUUCUUUGUCUGUAAUAAAAUCAAAAUCCAUAUUAAUGGACUGACGAGUGGUUUAUUAGCAAAAGUAACAAAUGGCCCUCAAUAUCAUCUCCUAGGAAAAAAAACUAUUUGGGCCCAAUGCAGGCACAAGGCAAGCCCAGACGGACGCCAGUGCCUCAACUCAACAUCGAACCCCCACAAAGGAGACACAAAUAUGCAAUUACGGGAAAUAUUCUAGGCAGCUAUGCCAUAUCGAGCUCAUAUAACUUAUAACAAGCCAUAAUCCUAAAUUAAUUGGGCAAUUUGAUGGUACUGCACCCUUAAACAAUUUACUAAUCAAUGCAAUGACUAAUCUUUGAUUUUAAAAACAUACUGCAAAAUAGGAAAUUAAAUUACGAAAUGGCUAAAAGUCCCAACAGUCAAAUUAAUAGUGCAUAUUAAGAUCAACUAACCAUUGGCCUACAAUUAUUAGCUUCAUUUCGAAAAGAAAAAUAAAUGCUAAACCAAACUGAUAUCGACUAUAUGAGAAGCUAUUGCUAGAUGAUCAACAGUUUGCACAACUCAAUAGGCCGAGUGAGUACACAUAGAGAUAUGCUAGAACUCUGCAUUAUAAUAUCAACACAAGCUAAGCCAAACUAAAUUGCUACACACAUGGAUUACAUCUAAUUAAUCUAACAUUAUACUACUUAACAAUCCAGUCCAGAAUUAUUACAGAGUUUAAUCACAAUAAACAAGCAAAUGUGGCAGGGCCAUUAAAAUCACAAAGCCACAGUGCCAAAUUAUCCUUAAUUUCAUUUCAUAUCUCAACAGAUGAAGCUACAUCAAUGGAGUCUCGAGAUGUGUACCUGAAUGUCGAAAUACAAGAAGAAUAAGAAGAAGAUCAGCUAUAAUAGCAGAUUCCAGCAGAAUAAUUUGCUAACAGCAGGAAACACAGCAAGUUCAACCCAGAAACGAGUUCAACAAUCGAAGGAUAAUUCCAAACCAAACAGAAGCCAACAAAACAGUCGCAAUUAGCUUGAACAAAACCCAAGUGACUUCGAAUUCAAACCCAGAAAUACCUCUGAAACCUCAUCAACUAAAACAAACCAAAAUAGCUUGAAUACAUUCAAAAAACAGCUUGAAAUUGAACUCAAGAUCAGCUAUAAUAGCAGAUUCCAGCGGAAUAAUUUGCUAACAGCAGGAAACACAGCAAGUUCAACCCAGAAACGAGUUCAACAAUCGAAGGAUAAUUCCAAACCAAACAGAAGCCAACAAAACAGUCGCAAUUAGCUUGAACAAAACCCAAGUGACUUCGAAUUCAAACCCAGAAAUACCUCUGAAACCUCAUCAACUAAAACAAACCAAAAUAGCUUGAAUACAUUCAAAAAACAGCUUGAAAUUGAACUCAAGGUCACCAAGAACUCAGAUUUUUAACUGACAGUGCAGAAAUUCCAAUGUAAUAGUGUAUUUUUGUAGUUUUUUUGUAUUGUUUCUAUUUUUUUUGGUUUCUGAAGAUUUGGAGUUUUGAAAUUCAAAUUUCAGCUGGGAAGACUUAGAGAAUACUCUAGAGGAAUUUUCAGAUCUGUGUGCUUGAAGGGAGUUUUGGGGAGGGAAUUUUGGGCUCCCAAAACUUGUUCAUUAAGGCAUUGGUGUUGCCCUUUUAUAGGCAAAGAUGAGGGCAACCCUCAAUUUUCUGUUUACAAAUCAGUCCCUUAUUUAUUUUCACAAUAGUCCUCUACUUAAUGACCUGCUUCUCAAGUAAGUGCACCUAUUUUCUGAAUUUAGAGUAAAAGUUAUAUUCUAGAAGGUUCUAGUGAAUUCCAAUCAGUUUUAAAAGAUUCCCUUAUCCCUGAAUUGCCCCACUUACUCCUACUUUAUUCAAAGAUUUACUAAACUAAUCCAAAUGAAUUCAGCCUCCUUUUACCCAAGUUAAGCCUAUCCACUGUAGCCAACUUCAUCAGAUUAACAACUAAGUGAACUGAGCAUUACCGAAUGUCCAAACUAACUAAACCGAAUGAUCUACAACCAAUUGAUAACAACCAAAAGGGGUACUAAGAUCAGAUUUAAGUUUAAAUAAAUUCAAACAAGAUUGACUAAAGCAGAACAAACAAGAAAAAUAAUCUAGUAUUCAAACUAUUAGAUUCCCAAAUCUACAAACGACUCUAACCUACGAAUUGCAUCAGAACAGAAUCACAACAAGAGACAUUUGAUAAAAGAAGGACUAAGCAGAGGCAGAAAUACUAAUCGUUUUAUUAAACCAUACUAUUCAAACUACACGACUGAACAUGCAACAAUUAAAAUCUAAAAAUCUAUAUUGACCCAAACAGCCCCAGAUGAACACAGACUAAUCCUCAAUGAAUGAUUCUAAAAUCAAUAUGAAAUCUUAAUUCAAACUUACGCAUGAAGGAGGAGAAGGAAAUGAACAGAACGAAGAAUUCACCAAUAAAAUCGACCUCACAUCUUCAAGCUCGGACACGGCAUGAGCAACUACUCGACUUAGGGUCCUCCUGACCCUAGAUUUAAGGCCCGUGGGAUUCUGCAUGGAUUUGAGGGAUUCCAAUCUUUAAAUUCGUCACGAGGAUGUCUGAGAGGGCUCAUAGUGUGAAUUUUGAACCCUUUUGAAAACUUAAAGCUUUGCAGCAGUUUGAACGGAUUUUCGAUCCGAUAUUUGAGACGUUUGGUACUGAUUGGAAGCAUAUUAAGGAUGGAUUUGGGGAGAGGCGAAUGAGGGGGUAUUGUGGUGUAAAUUUGGGGCCGUUUGGGCUAUAUCGCCGCCGUGGGCGGCGGAGACGAGGACAACAAAUUCGACCAUUUGAAGGUCUGUGGUGGGAUUCAAAGGGAGGUAAUGGCAGAUUCGUGAAGAGGAUGUCAAAGCGGUAUAGGGGUGUGAUUUUGGGGUCAACCGCGACGGUGGUGUCUUCGCCGGCGGCGGAACAUGGUGGCGGCUAGAAACAGAGAAAGGGGUACAAUGAAGAAGACUUGGUCGUUUAGGGUUAAUAGGGAAUUCGGACAUUUUUAUGAAAGAUGGGGGAAGAAUUCUGAGCCGUUAGAUUAGUAAGAUUUAACGGCUCAGAUGGACGGGUAGCAAAACAGUGUCGUUUUAUUUUGAGAGUGGACUGGACCUGGUGAGGAGUGUUGGGCCUGGGCGUGUGUGUAUUGAUAUGGGCACUAAUGUCUUGGGCCGUCAGAAUUGAAUAGGCAAUGACCCAACUCGUGGGUCUUUUAACGAGGCAACCUUUUCCCUUUUAUUUUAUCUCUUUUCUUCUUUCUUUUUG
rnacentral:lncRNA from 1 species